rnacentral:rRNA from 1 species
GACGUAAUAUGCAAGCGUUAUUCGGAAUCACUGGGCGUAAAGGGUGCGUAGGCGGUGAAUUAAGUCGGAUGUGAAAUCCUACGGCUCAACCGUAGAAUUGCGUUCGAAACUGAUUGACUAGAAUCAGAGAAGGGAAGGCGGAAUUCCUGGUGUAGGAGUGUAAUCUAUAGAUAUCAGGAAGAACACCGGUGGCGAAGGCGGCCUUCUGGCUUAUGAUUGACGCUGAGGCACGAAAGUGUGGGGAGCGAACGGGAUUAGAUACCCCGGUAGUCCACACCGUAAACGUUGUACACUAGGUGUUAGUGGUAUCGAUCCCACUAGUGCCGUAGCUAACGCAUUAAGUGUACCGCCUGGGGAGUAUGCCCGCAAGGGUGAA